UCAUUCUCCGUUUCCGACCGACCUGUUCGUCUCCGAUCGCCACCGUCUUCCUCCACUCCGAUCGACCUUGUUGUCUUCCAAGUCCGAUUGUCCUGUUUCCUCCAUUUCCGGUCGAUAUUGCCUUCCUCAAUCUCCAAUUGAAAUCGCGAGUCCCCUCAAUCUCCAAUCGAUCCCUCAUCUACUCUUUGUGUUUGAUGGAUCUAUGUUCUUUCAUCCUCCUUCUCCCCCUAGUCUUCGAUUAUUGAGCGAUCUCUUAUUUCAGUCCCAAUUCCAAACCCUAGAACAUAGCUUCAUCUUCUUCUUGUUUACUUCAGCGUGGAUAGACUGAUAAGAAUUUUGUUCUUAACAGAGGUUUCAAUUGUGAAAACGGUGGAAAUUGCAAUAGUGUUUUACGUGACAUAAAAAGCUGAAUAAGAUACAAGUUGAAACAAAUAGUUUCAAAUUUUUAUUGAAAACAAAACUUAGUUUUCAGGAUCCAAGUGUAUGUUUGGAUUUACGAUGAGAUUAGUAGAAUUAGAGUGUGCUUCGGAGACUUUUUACAAAAGCUAUACACUUCAGAUCUUCAACAAAAUUAGUGUUAUUAUGGGUACUUUUGCUAACGCUUUUCUUGCCGACCUCGAUGAACUCUCUCAAUAACGAGGCUGAAAUUCCAGUGAGUUUUUAAUUUUGAAUUUUGAAGAAAUUUAUUUUGCAUACAUGAUUAAAUUGAUGAACAAUGUGGGUGGGUUUAUCUAAGGCAGAUAAUGACGUGGAUGCGGCAGACAUGGAUGAAGAUGUUGAUGGUGAUCUAGAUGAUUUGGAAAAACUUAACAAUAAUGACUUGGAUAGUGUUUAUAAAUUGCAGAAAAGCCAGAGAUACAUUGAUAUUAUACAGAACGACACCGUAUGGAGAGUCCAUUAAAAGUGAACCGAGACGGUGAAAGGAUCUGCAGGGUUAUAGAGACGGUCUACAUCCGAGUCAAUUUCGAUUCUCUCUUUUACCCUUCCACACACUUGUUACUCCUAAUACUCGCCACCACUCUUCUUCUCUAUCCUUCAUCCCUAAAUCUCCAACCAUGUCACUUAAGGCUGCUUCUAGUUCUAUACCAAGUGCAGAGAAAAGUAGUAGCUCUGAUGUUGAGGAGGUCGUCAAAUCUGAGACAUACAACAAUAACAUGACAGAAGCCAUGGGUGCUGGCAUGAAUUAGGAAUGAACUACAACUUCAUUCUACCAGACUUGAUUGUCGGGUCAUGCUUGCAGCCCGACUCCUGAAGAUGUUGAUAAGCUGCGUAAAAUCGGAGUGAAAACUAUAUUUUGAUUACAGCAAGACCCAGACCUAGAGUAUACUGAAUAUAUUUGUUUUAUAUGGUUCAUUUUCAGCAUUUGUGACGUGGUACACUGAUUUAAUCUAAAAAAUGUCAUGGUCUUCAAUUAUUAGUAAUUGUAAAUAAAAACCAAAAUUUUCUCGGUUGAUAUGUGUAACUUAAAUAUAAUAAAAGUAAUUGCAAUUUAUAAAAUUGUUUUUUUCUA